GGUGAAAAGCACCCCGGAAGGGGAGUGAAAUAGAACCUGAAACCGUGUGCUUACAAGUAGUCAGAGCCCGUUAAUGGGUGAUGGCGUGCCUUUUGUAGAAUGAACCGGCGAGUUACGAUUUGAUGCAAGGUUAAGCAGUAAAUGUGGAGCCGUAGCGAAAGCGAGUCUGAAUAGGGCGUUUAGUAUUUGGUCGUAGACCCGAAACCAGGUGAUCUACCCUUGGUCAGGUUGAAGUUCAGGUAACACUGAAUGGAGGACCGAACCGACUUACGUUGAAAAGUGAGCGGAUGAACUGAGGGUAGCGGAGAAAUUCCAAUCGAACCUGGAGAUAGCUGGUUCUCUCCGAAAUAGCUUUAGGGCUAGCCUCAAGUGAUGAUUAUUGGAGGUAGAGCACUGUUUGGACGAGGGGCCCCUCUCGGGUUACCGAAUUCAGACAAACUCCGAAUGCCAAUUAAUUUAACUUGGGAGUCAGAACAUGGGUGAUAAGGUCCGUGUUCGAAAGGGAAACAGCCCAGACCACCAGCUAAGGUCCCAAAAUAUAUGUUAAGUGGAAAAGGAUGUGGCGUUGCCCAGACAACUAGGAUGUUGGCUUAGAAGCAGCCAUCAUUUAAAGAGUGCGUAAUAGCUCACUAGUCGAGUGACACUGCGCCGAAAAUGUACCGGGGCUAAACAUAUUACCGAAGCUGUGGAUUGUCCUUUGGACAAUGGUAGGAGAGCGUUCUAAGGGCGUUGAAGCAUGAUCGUAAGGACAUGUGGAGCGCUUAGAAGUGAGAAUGCCGGUGUGAGUAGCGAAAGACGGGUGAGAAUCCCGUCCACCGAUUGACUAAGGUUUCCAGAGGAAGGCUCGUCCGCUCUGGGUUAGUCGGGUCCUAAGCUGAGGCCGACAGGCGUAGGCGAUGGAUAACAGGUUGAUAUUCCUGUACCACCUAUAAUCGUUUUAAUCGAUGGGGGGACGCAGUAGGAUAGGCGAAGCGUGCGAUUGGAUUGCACGUCUAAGCAGUAAGGCUGAGUAUUAGGCAAAUCCGGUACUCAUUAAGGCUGAGCUGUGAUGGGGAGAAGACAUUGUGUCUUCGAGUCGUUGAUUUCACACUGCCGAGAAAAGCCU
rnacentral:rRNA from 1 species